CCUGAAUCCCAUCACAUCACAGCUCAGCAGCCAUGGCCCCGGAGAGAAAAAUGACUUUGCAAGAAUUGAGUCAGUUCAUUAGCAAGAGGAGACAGCAUCAGGUGACACAAGCAUGACAGUGUCUUAGCGGGGAAGGAACUGGAAGCUGGUUCUUUGAGGACAGAGGGAAGUGGCCUGCCUGGAUGGAGUUCAAUUCUAAGGUUGGAGGGAGGAUGGAACCUCAACACCACAUAGAGCCCAGGAGCACGGUUGCCGUUGGAGACACGGACAAGACAUAUCAGGGCCUGAGCCUGCCCCGGAAGCUCAGGGCAGAGCAGGCCUGCCGCAGACAGAGGACUGGCCUCCCUCUAAGGAAUGCCUGGCCCUGGGCAAGAAGCCAACGUGAGGGCAACUGCUCACAUCUGAAGUGCCCUGCUUGUCCGUGCUCCUGGAUUGCAAAGCCCUAGAGAGGGAGCCAUGAAAGGUGGCAGAUAGGACACCUCAUCUACAUACCAAGUGUCCUACUGGAUUGAAUUGUGUUGUAACACAAGCAGUGUGGCCUUUGUGGUAUACCGGACACAGUCUGCCUCUGACCUUUGCCACGUAUGAAGCCCUGGUCCGAGCAGAGACCAGGUGUGACGGUGAGUGUGUGGGUGGCACGUUCCCGCUGUGUCUAGGACCAGGGAUGACACUGAUCACACCUACCAAACCCUUUCUCCAAGCAUGGGCAUGGGGUGCACCAGCGCACCCUUCAAAGGACUCGGCGACUCAAUAAUAGUAUGGAGGAAGGGGAGCAGUUGAGCUUGGACUCAGCCACACUGACCUUCAGCCGGACUGGGGCUGUGCUGUCUCCAGGGGUACUUUUUGGAAACGAGAUCCAGGAAGGAGCGCCUGUCCAGACAACUUCUGCUUUUAGCCACAAAUCUCCCCGGAGGCAAGGAAGCCCACAGCCUGGCAACCGCUUCAAACGGGAUGGAAAACGGAGGAAAGCGCAUAAAUCAAAAUGCUAAUUUAUGGAGAUAAAAACAAAUUAAUAUGUUAAAAAGUUA